AACAAACCCAAUUUGGUUUCGCUGGACGAUUUCUAUCGCAACGAGCUCCCUUCCCUCCUUCACCAACGAAACCCUAACCCUUUCCUCACCACUCAAGAGCUUUCCAAACUUAUGCAAUGGAAGCUCACCCGCGGAAAAUGGAGGUUACUUACUAUCUUCUAUCUUCUUUUUUUUGGAGUUACCCAACCCUAAUUAUCUCUUUGAGACGAGUUGGCUCCCUCCGGUAUCUCCACGAGCUUCCACUCUUUGAACCGGCUAUGGGACUAAUCCGGAGUGCGGCCGCGUCUCUUGGAUUUUGUUUCUUCGUUAGACGACGCCGUUGUGAAAUCGGCUUCUCAGAAGGCUUUUCAGAGUCUUCCUGAUAUAUCCAAAGCGGUUUCUGAGCUGAACGUCUUGAAAGGCGUUGGUCCCGCCACUGCCUCGGCCGUUUUGGCUGCUUUCGCCCCUCACUUAACCCCCUUCAUGUCUGACCAGGCUAUGGAGGCAGCUCUUGGAAACUCGAAAGAUUAUUCGCUGAAGCAAUAUCUAAUAUUCGCCAAUAAAUAGCAGAUGAAAGCAAAGGACUUAAGUUCAGAAGGGGAUUCCUUUACCCCAUCCGAUGUAGAAAGGGCUUUGUGGAGUUUUGCUGUACGGAAGUCAUCAGCACCCAAAUUAAAUGAGGACCCUAAGACCAAUACAAGCAGGAGCUCUAAAAGAAAGAGGAAAAAUUGACAUAGCAGCAUACCAAGAAAUGAUAUUACAAGUAAUAUUUAUUCUUUCUUUGGUCUGCUGGUUUUAUUUCCUUGUUGGGGGGAUUUGUAGUUCAAUGUUGGACACGUUUAGUCACUGAUUAUUAUUGGAUAUUUUAGCUUUUAAGUUGUGGCCUAAUUAAAGUUAUUUGUUUUUUGCUAACGUUCAUUUUCUUGAAAGUUGGUCUGUGAGAACUUUGAUGCUUGCAUCCAUGUUUUUCGGCGUUCAUGUUGUUAAUGCUUACACAACACGGCAGAUUAAUAAUUUCUAAAAUAUGUAACAGAGUGGAAUAGAGAGAAUCUUGGCACAAUGGUUGGUGUUGUUGCCAUGUCAGUCUCUUGCAAUGCGAAAUUUCUUUAGUACAACUAUUGAGUGCAACUUAUGUAAGUCUCGGAAUACAUAAUUAUAAUAUUAAUUUUUUUUUUCUCUCCUCAUAAAGUUAUUAGCUGAUUUGAAGAGAGAAAAAAAACUUUAAUUUUUUCACACGAGGUUCAUUUAGACAGAGGGAUCUCUGACUGGAGAAGCUUUUUCGGCUGUUGGUUUCUUUGGAUUUGACACAACAAGGAAAUCCAUGAACCUGAUUUUAAAAGACCUGAGAAUUCUUUUGCCGAAGUGCUAAAGUUUCUACAUGAUAUUAAUCACUCUCUUGCUAAGCCUCAGAUCAGUGCGUCCACUGCUGUCUCAACUCCUAGUGCAUCGCAUUAGGUUCGACCUUCUCCCAAGUGGCUGAAAUUGAAUGUUGAUGGGGCUGUGACUCGUGGGAAAGCUGCUUGUGGUAGCCUUGUUCAUGACUGUCAUGGUAUAUGGCUAGAUGGCUUCAAAUCUUUUCUGGGGUGCUAUUCCCCUUUCCUUGCUGAGCUCUGAGCUAUCCACAAUGGCCGGUUUUAAAAAUCUAAUAGUUGAGAGUGACUCUUCUCAAAUUAUUAGAUUGUUUACCUUAUUCGAUAAUGAAGCUUGAGAACUGCAUUUAGUGGUUAGGAUUCGAGCUCUUGUUGACAGAUCUUGGAAUAUCAAGUUUAUUCACGCUUUGAAAAGUAGUAAUUUUUGUGCUGACUGAUCGCAAAGAUGGCUCUAUCCUGCCCCUUGGGUACAUCGGUUAUAGCUUCUCUUGACCAGUCUAUUCAGAAGUUGAUCUCCUAUGAUGUUGUUGGGUCCUCCAGCCAGAUUUGGCUUGUUGCCCCUAAUUAGUCUCUCUGUUUUCUUUUUUUUCCUUUGUUUUUGGGGCUUUGCCCCUUCAUUGUAUGGAGAAAAAAAACAACAAUAAAAACUAUGUA